GGAGAAAUGGCAGAGUGGUUGAUUGUGGCGAUCUCGAAAAUCGUUUUAGCUUAAGCUAACGAGGGUUCGAAUCCCUCUUUCUCCG
rnacentral:tRNA from 1 species